AUGGAGGGUCACGGAAUUAGGAUGGACAAUGUCGGUGUCAGCCGCCUGCCGGACUGGACGGAGGAAGGCCUCUGCUCCUGUGGCCCGGACGCUGCCUCCCGCGAUCCAUCUGUUGAUGUGGCCAUAGCGACCGUCAUUGUCACUCUUCGCAGAGCCCCUGCUGUCCAGCCUGCCCUCCCCUUCCUCCCUCUGUCUCCUUGGUGACAGCAGUGACAUCUACAACCCAAGCCCCGGCACCUGCUGACCACCAGUGGGAUUUGGGGACAGCUCCCUUUCCUGGAGCACACCCUGCACCGUGGCAGCCAUGGCCUGGGCCCCCCGAAUCUGGCAGCGGUCUCCGUCUCAAGUACUCAUGACAAAGUCACCACGUCUUCAAAAUCUUGUUUUAAUUUAAAACAAAAUCCAUCCACAUAUGCAUGCUCCUCUUUGCCGAUCGAUGCUUUAUACGGAUGCUCCCGGGAGGCUGUGCUGACCUGUCCCCGGAGCCUCCAGACCCAAGUGCCGUGCUGUCAGAUGCCGGUGAUGGCUCAGGGCACUCGUGUUGGGGUGACCAAGUGAUAGCUCAUCACCGGGCAGGCAGGCAGGGGAGCCAGACUCAGAUCUGGUCUUGGCCAGCCUAGGGCAGGGUGGGGACCUGGCUGCCCGAACAAAGGCCUGUUUACCGGGCCGGGAGGACGCCAGCCGCAGGCCUGCCAGGCCCUGCGG
rnacentral:lncRNA from 12 species